CUGCUAUAUGCUGUGCACUGUGCUAAGUGCUAUAUAUAUUAUCUUGAUUCUCAAAACAAUUGGAAUGGGAUAGAGAGGUUGAGUGUUAUUAUUAUCUCCAUUUAUAGUUAAGGAAACUGAGACAGAAAAACAUUAAGUCACUUAUUUAUAGUCACCCAACUUGUGUGUGAGGUAAAAUUUGACUUCAUAGAGCUUUCAAUCUAGAGGCUUGUCUCAUGUGUAAUAUAUGCACAUAUUUGUAUACCUACCCACAUGCAUGUAUGUGUAUUCAAUGUAUGUGUAUGUACACACAUAUGUAAACAAGUCAAAAGGGGUUUAUAGCUGACUACUCAUGGCAAAAAGAUGGACUACCACAUAAUGAAAGAGGUUCCCAGGGGAAAUGGCAAGAAUCUACUAGUUGAACACUGAAUAAACUGGAAAAGACACUGUGAUUCAAGAAAGGACAUACAAUUCAUUAUGAGAAAAGUCUUGCUUAGCAGCCCCAUAUAGAUCUGCCACGAACAGAACUGAGACUCAGUUUUUGCGACUGUGGAAGGUAAGGAAACAAGUCCAGAAAGCAAUAACCAUCCUAUUUUGGAGCACAUCAUGGAUAAAGAUGGGCCAGCCAGCAUAAUGUGACAGAUCUCCUUAAUUUUAGAAAAAUGACUUUCAAAGUGUUUAAAGAAUGCAGGAAAUUGGCUCAAGUGCAAUGAGCUCAAAAACGAUGUCAUGAUAAGAAAGGGAAAAAAAAGCUUUCUGAAGUGACAGACUUGUCUGUAAAGAGAUCUCAACCAAGAAAUUUAAAGAUAUGUAUAGAAGAUGAAAGAGCAGGCUUGCCAAUGAUUGAGGACUGGUUCCAAAUUAUUUCAUUUUAAAAUGACAAAGGAAAAAAUGCAGUCUUUACAAAAAUUAAAUUCAAACCACUUACAAAAUGACUCUCCCUAUUUCAUCAGCAACCUUCCUAAAAAACCAAAGAGCAAGAGAGUCAGAAGGGACCUCUGGGAUCACCCAGUCCAAGCUUCUAAAUCACAGAUCCAGUGACAAUAUCCUCAUGUGUGGGCUUUACUUCUGCUUACUAAGGCACAUAUUUGCAUUUCUUUUUUGGACAGCUCCAUUAGAUAGAAGCAAUUUUUCCUUAUGUUAAACUGAAAAUCUUCUUGGCUUUUUGUAACUUCCACCCAUUAGUCCCAAUUAUGCCUUUCAAAGCCUGACAGAACAAGUUUAUUCUCUUUUUUCUUUAGUCUUUCCACUUCCAAUAACUGAGUUCAAGUAAUUGCCUCACUCCCCCAAGACUUCCUUCACUCAUUUUUUGAUUGUCAUGUUUUAGACUGUCCCAUCUAAAAUGUGAUGCCAAGAACUAAACCUAAGCCUGCAGAUGUAGUAUGAUCAAAGCAAAGUAUAAAGGAAUUAUUACUUUAAAACAUAUUUUGAUAAUUGCAUUUCAAUAUAAUUAGUUUCUU